AUGGUGCACGAAAUGUGUUCAACUAUUUCACAUGCAGUUGGGAAGCUUGUUUCUGGUAUUGGGGGGAUAGAUGAUGCGCAAGAGGGGACAAGCAGAUCAGAGGCUGUUCAUGUGGAAAAGAGGAGGCAAGAACCUACUAGGAGAUCCAAACAAGCUCCAGCUGUGAGAGAAAGCUUAUCGAGUGAAGAAGACUCGUUCAAAACUGACAGUGAGGAAGAUGCAAGUGGCAGUGACGAAAGUGACUGGGACAGAGGGGGUGAUGAAAGUGACAACGACGGCCACUCAAGCAAUGAUGAUGGUGACGACUUUGUAGUUCAAAAAGCUAGAUGCAACGACAACGAGGAGGGAGAAGCAACUUUUCAGGAGAGGGGAGCAGUAAUGGAUGAAAGCAAGGAGGAUAAGGAGGACGAAGAGGAGGAGAAAGAAAAAAAAGAUGAGGAUGAAGAAAAGGAAGACGAUGAUGAUGAAGAAAGCGAAGACAAUGACAACGACAAUGACAAAGACACGGGGGACGAUGAUAUGCAGGGUGAUGAGGAAGACCAGGAUGACAACAAUUCUGGUGGCAACAGUGGCAAUGGCGGAAACAAUGGAGGGAACGAGGAUUCUGCAGGUGAGGAAACAGAGACUGAUGACGAGCAAUCCACACUUCAAUAUUUACUCGAAGAGAAAAAGAAUAUGAAGCCAAAGGGGCUUGACGAGGCAGUUAGCAUCUCUGUGAGAGAUGUUGUUAUGAUGGACGAGGAAAGUUACUGCAAAAUGCCACGCAUCCGCAUGUUUGAAGUGAAAGAAAUGUUGGAUCUCGACGAGCAGCCUAUUGCAGUGCUAGCGAGAAAAUGUUCCAAGAGCUAUUGA
rnacentral:rRNA from 1 species